UGUCUCUUACCUAAAGAAUGGGCAGCUGUGGUUUUGGAGCUGAAAAACCGACCAAGUCCAAGGUCUCCGAGUUUUACUACCCCAGUGGCUGUAAUGAACACAUUAGCUGGUUUUAUAUCUGUGAAUAAACGAAGAGAUCAGACCCUGGAGCCCCAGGUGCAAGGCUCCUUCCUGUCUCAGUGUGCAUCUUUAGCAUCCUCAAGCAAUUCCUGAAAAAGCUUCACUGAAACUAUCCAGCAUACAUUCCUAACAGAGAAGGAAAAAAAUGAUCCUGACUUGAAACAGGACCUCGAAUCAUCAGGGAAGGGAAUCUCAGAGAGAAAUGUCUGUGCUUCGGGCAUUCCUAUAAGGGCUUAUCUUAACUGGGUUAACUGAGGCUGGACAUCCCACUCAGACUACGAGCAGCACAUCUGGGCUGGGCCCUGG
rnacentral:lncRNA from 1 species